GACGAACGUUGGCGGCGUGCUUAAUACAUGCAAGUCAACUGAAGCAGUGGUAGCAAUAUCGCUGUGGAGGUGGCGCACGGGUGAGUAACACGUAGGUAAUCUGCCUUCAGGUCUGGCAUAACUCCGGGAAACCGGGGCUAAUAGCAGAUGAUGCAGCGGCUCGACAUCGAGACAGUUGUUAAAGCUAUGUCGCCUGAAGAUGAGCCUGCGUCUGAUUAGCUAGUUGGCGGGGUAACGGCCCACCAAGGCAACGAUCAGUAGCUGGUCUGAGAGGAUGAUCAGCCACACUGGAACAGAGACACGGGCCAGACUGCUACGGGAGGCAGAAGUAAGGAAUAUUGAUCAAUGGGAGAAAUCCUGAAGCAGCAACGAGGCGUGAGGGACGAAGGGCUUUUGCUUGUAAACCUCUGUAGUGAGAGAAAAAAAUCCCAAUCUUUGGGACAUGAUGGUAUCUCAAAAGUAAGCCCCGGCUAACUACGUG
rnacentral:rRNA from 1 species